rnacentral:rRNA from 1 species
AAACAUCUUCUCUUGUUAUUUAUUUGAGAUUUAACCUGCCCAAUGAUUUAAUUUAAUGGCCGCGGUAUUUUGACUGUGCAAAGGUAGCAUAAUCAUUAGUCUAAUAAUUGUAGACUUGUAUGAAUGGUUGGACGAAAUAUUUACUGUCUCAUAUUUAUAUUUAAAAUUUAAAUUUUUAGUUAAAAUGCUUAAAUUUUGUUAUUGGACGAGAAGACCCUAUAGAUCUUUAUUUUAUUUUAUUUUGUUUUGUUUGGUUUAAUUUUUUAUUAAAUUUUUUUAAUUUUUGGUUGGGGUGACAUGAAGAUAUAAUUAACUCUUUAUUUAAAUUAAUCAUUUAUUUUUGUUUAUUUGACCUUUUAGUAUUGUUAUAAGAUAUAGAUACCUUAGGGAUAACAGCGUAAUUUUUUUUAAGAGUUCUUAUCGACAAAAUAGAUUGCGACCUCGAUGUUGGAUUAAGAUUACCUUAUUUAGGUGUAGUAGCUUAUUUGGUAGGUCUGUUCGACCUUUAAAUUCUUACAUGAUCUGA